rnacentral:rRNA from 1 species
CCCCAUAGUAGAGAAUAGCCCGGCGAAAGUCCGGAUUAAUACUCUAUGUUGUGUCAUGAGGACAUCUGAAUAACACUAAAGAUUCAUCGCUAUGGGAUGGGGAUGCGUCUGAUUAGCUUGUUGGCGGGGUAACGGCCCGACCAAGGCGACGAUCAGUAGGGGUUCUGAGAGGAAGGUCCCCCACAUUGGUACUGAGACACGGACCAAACUCCUACGGGAGGCAGCAGUGAGGAAUAUUGGUCAAUGGGCGGGAGCCUGAACCAGGCCAAGUAGCGUGCAGGAACUGACUGCCCUAUGGGUUGUAAACUGCUUUUAUGCGGGAAUAAAGUCAGGUACGUGUACCUGUUUGUAUGUACCGCAUGAAUAACGGACCGGCUAAUUCCGUGCCAGCCGCUGC